rnacentral:rRNA from 1 species
GGCAGACGGGUGAGUAAUGCAUAGGAAUCUGCCCAGUAGUAUGGGAUAGCCACUAGAAAUGGUGGGUAAUACUGUAUACGCCCUGCGGGGGAAAGAUUUAUCGCUACUGGAUGAGCCUAUGUUAGAUUAGCUAGUUGGUAGGGUAAAGGCCUACCAAGGCAGUGAUCUAUAGCUGGUCUGAGAGGAUGAUCAGCCACACUGGAACUGAGAUACGGUCCAGACUCCUACGGGAGGCAGCAGUGGGGAAUAUUGGACAAUGGGCGCAAGCCUGAUCCAGCUAUGCCGCGUGAGUGAGGAAGGCCUUAGGGUUGUAAAACUCUUUCAGCGGGGAAGAUAAUGACGGUACCCGCAGAAGAAGUCCCGGCAAACUCCGUGCCAGCAGCCGCGGUAAUACGGAGGGGGCAAGCGUUGUUCGGAAUUAUUGGGCGUAAAGGGCAUGUAGGCGGUUUG